CCUACGGGAGGCAGCAGUGGGGAAUAUUGCACAAUGGGGGAAACCCUGAUGCAGCGACGCCGCGUGAAGGAAGAAGUAUUUCGGUAUGUAAACUUCUAUCAGCAGGGAAGAAAAUGACGGUACCUGACUAAGAAGCCCCGGCUAACUACGUGCCAGCAGCCGCGGUAAUACGUAGGGGGCAAGCGUUAUCCGGAUUUACUGGGUGUAAAGGGAGCGUAGGCGGUUUAGCAAGUCAGAAGUGAAAGCCCGGGGCUCAACUCCGGGACUGCUUUUGAAACUGUUGAACUAGAGUGCAGGAGAGGUAAGUGGAAUUCCUAGGGUAGCGGUGAAAUGCGUAGAUAUUAGGAGGAACACCAGUGGCGAAGGCGGCUUACUGGACUGUAAAUGACGCUGAGGCUCGAAAGCGUGGGGAGCAAACAGGAUUAGAUACCCUUGUAGUC
rnacentral:rRNA from 1 species